rnacentral:rRNA from 1 species
UACGUAGGGGGCAAGCGUUGUCCGGAUUCAUUGGGCGUAAAGAGCGUGUAGGCGGCCAGGUAGGUCGGUUGUGAAAACUGGAGGCUCAACCUUCAGAGGUCGACCGAAACUAUCUGGCUAGAGUCCGGGAGAGGAGAGUGGAAUUCCUGGUGUAGCGGUGAAAUGCGCAGAUAUCAGGAAGAACACCCGUGGCGAAAGCGGCUCUCUGGAACGGUACUGACGCUGAGACGCGAAAGCGUGGGGAGCGAACAGG